AGUUUGGAUGAAAGGUUAGCACUCCCCUUGACAAGGAUGGAAGAGGUCCUCGGUCCUGAAAAUACACAUGGUUAAGGCCUUGUCACCUUCUUUGUGUCAUCUAACCAUUGUUUUUA
rnacentral:ncRNA from 1 species